rnacentral:misc_RNA from 1 species
AAGUCGUAACAAGGUUUCCGUAGGUGAACCUGCGGAAGGAUCAUUAACACGUAUCCAACGUUAAACCCCCCCGUGAACGUACAGUCCGGGUUUACUUCCGGCUCUUCUCGACUUACAGAAAUAUUGGUUGCAAUCCCUGGUAAAUCAUCGCCGAACAGUUUGAUUCAGGGACUUCUGCGUGGGUAGGACAACUGCGCGAGCAAGUGGCCUGGCAUCCCUCUGCUUGUUAGUGUCUGAAAGUGUCACUAGCUCUGUACGGGUGGCGCAAUCACGAUCGCUAGAGGCCAACACGGCCGGCGACCGGGUCAAUGGGCCCUCGGCCCCCUAGAUCACCCCUUUGCAUGAAAACGGGCCUGCGCUUAAUUGUGCGACCACCAAACUCGAACAACUGUUAACAAUGGAUAUCUUGGUUCCC